UCCGACGUAGUUCAAUGGUUAAAACAUUUGGCUCACACCCAAGAGAACGGAGUUCGAUUCUCCGCGUUGGAA